GACCCUGUAGUUGAUACAACAACAGUAAAUUGCAAGUUUAAAAGUGUAUUUAUCGCAAUACCGGGGUUU
rnacentral:tRNA from 1 species